CCCUCCUCAAAAGCCAGGCCGCACACACGGAACGGGACCCGGCUGGCGAUGCUUUUUUAUCUGUUCUGCAUCUUGGAGCCUCCUGGCCUACCUGACAUGGAAGCAGCUGUGUACAAUGGGGAAGGAACCUGCAACAUGACAUGCCUUGUGAAGAAGCAGCCCCGAGUGAUACAUGUGUUACUAGGUACCAUUACAUGAUGUCUACCUCCGCAUGUCCACUCUGCGAGCACGUUGAAACAUCCGAACGUCCACUACAACAGGUCAUCUCGAAUCUCACACAUGCAAUGUUGUAUUUGUGAAUGCUUUACCACGCAUAUCGUGGAGGGGUGCUUUAGAUUGGCCACGAGCAUUGGCUGUCUAGCGUGGCAUGGAAUCUACACUUCAAUAACGUUGAAACUGUAACACUAUUAUUUAGAUUCUGAGGCACUGCUGAGCUCAACAACACAGGUUUGUUCCCAGCCACAGUGGCCAUAUUUCGAUGGGGGUGAAAUGCUAAGACGUUCGUGUGCUUAAGGGUUUGUUAGAUUCGCCUGCACCACAUGAUCCAUUUUAUAAAGUGUUGUACCUCGCCAUUCGUUUCAGUGGUGCAGCAAUGGCACCCUCUAAACCGUGCCAUUUAUUUAAAAAAGCGCAGGAGAGGUACAGUACUAAAACUAGUUCAUGAUUUUCCUGUACCUCCUGCUCUGAUGGCACUGGUUUGGUGGAGCUGCACGCACAGCUUAACAAACAACAUAGCACUACAACAAAAGAGUGGCUACUUGGGCUGGUU